rnacentral:rRNA from 1 species
AAUCAACGCUGGCGGCGUGCCUCAGACAUGCAAGUCGAACGAUUAAAGCUCUCUUCGGAGAGUGUAUAGAGUGGCGCACGGGUGAGUAACACGUAAGUAAUCUACCCUCGAGUGGGGAAUAACAACCGGAAACGGUUGCUAAUACCGCAUAAUGCAGCGGCACCGCAAGGUGACAGUUGUUAAAGAUUUAUCGCUUGAGGAGGAGCUUGCGGCAGAUUAGCUAGUUGGUAGGGUAACGGCUUACCAAGGCUACGAUCUGUAACCGGUCUAAGAGGACGGUCGGUCACACUGACACUGAAUAACGGGUCAGACUCCUACGGGAGGCAGCAGUCGGGAAUUUUGGGUCGAAUAGGGC